rnacentral:lncRNA from 1 species
CCCAGACUGGUCUGGAACUCCUGGCCUCAAGCAAUCCUCCUACCUCGGCUUCCCAAAGUGCUAGGAUUACACAUAUGAGCCACCUUGCUCAGUCCAAAUUUCUUCAGUUUCAAGGAUGUACAAGGAUAACCCUCCAAUACAUUAGUCUCUUUUAUUUUAAAAAGUAGUAUUUAGAGUAUAUUUAUUUAAUGUAGAAUCAAAGGGAGAGUAUAGAAACAUAACUUGGAUGUCUAUGAACAAAGAUGAUUCUUUUUAGGGACAAAAUUGUAUGGUGUAUAAUGAGUUGAAUUUUUCAUGGAAGUUUUAUGCGCUAACUCACAUAUUGGGAUUAUGGUAACUAUACACACACUUAGUCAAGCCAAUAUUAGUCUUUUAAAAGGCAUUUUAAGGACAUUGAAUUAUCUCAUUUUUUGAAAAAAGUAUUUUAUUAUAGCAAGAACACAACAUGAGAUAUGCUCUCUUAAACUUUUAAGUGUACAAAGCAACACUGUUAACUACAGGGGCAGUGUUAUACAGCAUAUCUCUAGAACUUACUCAUCUCUCAUUACUGUAACUUUGCCUGUUGAUUAGCAGCUCCAAAUCCUUCCUGCUUCUGCCCCUGGCAGUCACCAUUCUGCUCUUUGAUUGUAUACUUUGGCUAUUUUAGGUAUGUGAAAAUUAAGGACAGAUCCUAUGCUGACCUGAUAAACAAAGAUAGCUCUUUCGAGCUCAAUGUACAUUGAGUGUAACAAGAGGGAAGGAGGGAGGAAACCACUGCCCAUUUGGGAUUCCUUCAAAUUCACAUCUCUCCAAAAUGGGAGACUUGUAUUUUCUGACAUUCAACUUAAUCGAAGAAUAAAGCUUUAACAGUGGCAUCAGUGACAUGAUGAAUGAUGCAUCAUUUUGAAGUAAUAAUGGUUUUCCCAGUGACUCAGAAAUAGCAGUAUGUUCAGAUUCAGUGUGCCUGUUCAUGAGAGCUCUGCAGAAAUUGCACAUCUGGCUCUUUGCCUGUGCACCUGAAGUUAUCUCAGGAGAAAUUAUACAAAUUAAAUACAGACACAGAGAAGGUCUUUUUUAAUUCAAAGGAAAAGAAUAUAUAUUCAAGAAAAGCAAAAAAGGGGUUGCACACUGCUUCAAGGUAGUAAUUGUUAAUUAUUCAAGACUGACUUCUUGUAAAGUAAUCUUCUAGAAAGACAGCUGGACUUUUAAGACUUCAUGAACUCUAAAGAUAUGGCAGGCCAGGAUCCAAGGCCAAAGGUAUAAUACCUCCAAAAGCUACGGUUAUGAGUCUUGGAAGUCAGCCCUUGGUUGUAUCAGAGGAAAUACAGUUCUCUCUAACCAUGAAUGCUGAAGAGGAAGAAUCAAGCUGGAGGCUAGGAUUAUGCCAUAUCAUACUGCUUUUGGAUCUCAGCACACAGGAUGCCAGGGGAGGGUAAUGUUCUUACCAUGAAGCUUGUCAUCAGAGGUCCAAAAGAAGAGAGCCACAAAAUGUGUACUGUUCAAUGUUGUGUGCACAUCUAGCAUGAAACAUCUUUUGCAUCAGUGACCAAUCUGAGUACUUACAUCUUAACUCUAAGGCACACACUAAAAUACAUAAUGCCUGGUUGUUCCUAGAUACUUACUUGGUAUAAAAUUUAAUUUUUUCUAAAAAUGAUCUUAUAUGGUAGCUUUUUUUUUUGAGACGGAGUUUCGCUCUUGUUGCCCAGGCUGGAGGGCAAUGGCAUGACCUCAGCUCACUGCAACCUCCAUCUCCCGGGUUCAAGCAAUUCUCCUGCUUCAGCCUCCAGAGUAGCUGGGAUCACAGGCGCCCAUCACCAUGCCCAGCUAAUUUUUUGUAUUUUUAGUAGAGACAGGGUUUCCCCAUGUUGGCCAGGCUGGUCUUGAACUCCUGACCUCAGGUGAUCCACCUGCCUCUGCCUCCCAAAGUUCUGGGAUUACAGGCGUGAGCCACCACGCCCGGUCAUAUGUAGCUCUUUACUGUCUUUACAGCAUGAUAGCUGCUUAAUACAUAUUCAAUAUUCAUUGAAUUAUAACAUUCACUGAAUUGCAAUAUUUUUUCUCAUUGUUCACUCUGUUUUCCGAUUUUUCACAUACCCAUCCACAUCCCCAAUGCUCACAACUAGCCGCAACAUGAAUACUUUAAAUCAAUGAAGUCCCUGAAAUAAAAAAUUAUGAAUAAUCAUUAUUUUUGUCGUUUUUGUCAUUGUUUACAUCUAGUGAGACAGAAUUCUUUAUUACCAAAUUCUGUUCACGUUAUAGCCACUUCCUUCUCUGAAACUUCAUUAUCACCAUUAUAGCUUCUGGUAUGAUCAGCUAAUCUCACCAUUACAAAAGUCACUUACCUGAUCCUCCUGAAAAGUGUCUUGACCUAACCCUAAUACAAAGCAUUAAUUUUUUAAGUUUUCUUUUAUGGGAAAUUAUUUACAUUUAAUUAUAACACACAUAUAGUAAAAUGUACAUAUCAUCAAUACACACUUCCACGAAGUUUAACAAAAUGAAUUAAUACAUAUAACCACCAUAGAUCAAAUAAAAUAUUUAAACUUUCAGAUAGCCAUACUAAUGGCCUAAAUGCAAAUCUCUCUGCAUAGUAUUUCAAAAACUGUAGAGAUGAACCGCAAGAACAAAAUGAACACACAUUCUACAUCUUCA